CUUUGAUGUUAGACUUUCGUUGUGUGCAGGUGUCCUUGUCAAGCUAUUCGAACAAGGUAGGGAAUAUCUACCUGUUGAAGGGAUUGAAAAGCCGGUUGCAGGGACAAGGACAAUCCUAACCUGUCCGAAAAGGCUUCGGAUUCUGUGACGUCAGUUUGUACAGGGAUUCAAGAUGAAUCCUAUUAUGCCCACGUUUUGAGAGAUGCAUUUAAAGAAUUUAAACAGAGAUUGAUCCUAUGAUACAACCGAGAGAGAGAGAGAGAAAAUCAACCCAACCCAGAGAAAGAGCAAAUGUUACAAGGAGUUACAAGGAUUAGGAUGUCGCCAAAGUCUUAUUACUCCAUCCGAGGAGACAUCGUGUGUUCACUAGAGAGAAGUAACCCAACCCAAAGAGAGAGUAUCAAGAGAAUAUCAAGGAGGAACACGGGUGAUAAAUCAAGAGAACGAGGAGAGGCAAGAGGAUCGCCGGUAACCUUCAAAACCUAAAGAAAGAUGUCGGUAAUCCAGGCCAGUUAAUAAAAAAUGUUCUGGACGCCUCUAUAAAAUUUUUAAAUUUUGUUUUUUGUUUUUGUUUGGGGGGUGGUGUGGGCUACUGGCGGGGAUGUCCGGGCGGGGAUGUCCGGGCUGAAGAGUUGUGGAAUAGGCCCCCUAAAUUUGGUAUUGUAAAUGCUACUCUUGAUGUAAUUGUGUAUGUAUUUCUCUUAUGUAAUUCUCUGCAUUUGUAAUGCUACUUUUAUUUACGUAAUAAAUUACCA